GACGAACGCUGGCGGCGUGCUUAACACAUGCAAGUCGAACGGAAAGGCUCCAGCUUGCUGGAGUACUCGAGUGGCGAACGGGUGAGUAACACGUGGGUAAUCUGCUCUGCACUCUGGGAUAAGCCUGGGAAACUGGGUCUAAUACUGGAUAUGACCUUUCUCCUUAUGGGGUUUGGUGGAAAGUUUUUCGGUGUAGGAUGAGCCCGCGGCCUAUCAGCUUGUUGGUGGGGUGAUGGCCUACCAAGGCGACGACGGGUAGCCGGCCUGAGAGGGUGAUCGGCCACAUUGGGACUGAGAUACGGCCCAGACUCCUACGGGAGGCAGCAGUGGGGAAUAUUGCACAAUGGGCGGAAGCCUGAUGCAGCGACGCCGCGUGAGGGAUGACGGCCUUCGGGUUGUAAACCUCUUUCAGCAGGAACGAAGCGUAAGUGACGGUACCUGCAGAAGAAGCACCGGCUAACUAUGUG
rnacentral:rRNA from 1 species